rnacentral:misc_RNA from 1 species
GAUGAAGAACGUAGCGAAAUGCGAUAAGUAAUGUGAAUUGCAGAAUUCAGUGAAUCAUCGAAUCUUUGAACGCACCUUGCACCCUUUGGCAUUCCGAAGGGUAUGCUCGUUUGAGUGUCAUUGUACUCUCACACUCUCCGAUCCUAUGGAUUCGGGGAGCGGUGGACUUGGGUGUUGCUGCCUUUCCUUGUGGCUCACCUCAAAUGUGUCAGUGCACCUCUUGGUUGGACAUAGUACGGCGUGAUAAGUGUCUUCGCCGGCACCUCGCAAGAGGGUGGCCGAUCGGGAGCUCUGUGCUUUCAAACCGUCUUCGGACAAUUUCUGACAACUUGACCUCAAAUCGAGUAGGACUACCCGCUGAACUUAAGCAUGUCAAUAAGCGGAGGA